rnacentral:snRNA from 1 species
GAACCGGAAGCCGGGUUACGGU